rnacentral:rRNA from 1 species
UUAGAUACCCUGGUAGUCCACGCAGUAAACGGUGAUCACUAGGUGUAUCUGGUAUUGACCCCUGUUGUGCCGGAGUUAACGCAUUAAGUGAUCCGCCUGGGGAGUACGGCCGCAAGGUUAUAACUCAAAGGAAUUGACGGGGCCCGCACAAGCGGUUGGAGCAUGUGGUUUAAUUCGACGCAACGCGAAGAACCUUACCUGGAUUUGACAUCUCGGGAAUCCCGCGGAUACGCGGGAGUGCCCUUCGGGGAGCCCGAAGACAGGUGCUGCAUGGCUGUCGUCAGCUCGUGUCGUGAGAUGUUGGGUUAAGUCCCGCAACGAGUGCAACCCCUAUCUUCAGUUACCAGCGAGUAAAGUCGGGGACUCUGGAGAUACUGCCCCGGUCAACGGGGAGGAAGGUGGGGAUGACGUCAAGUCCUCAUGGCCUUUAUGUCCAGGGCUACACACGUGCUACAAUGGGCUGUACAGAGGGAAGCGAUCUCGCGAGGGUGAGCCAAUCCCAAAAAGCAGUCCUCAGUUCGGAUUGGAGUCUGCAACUCGACUCCAUGAAGCUGGAAUCGCUAGUAAUCGCGGAUCAGCAUGCCGCGGUGAUACGUUCCCGGGCCUUGUACACACCGCCCGUCACACCAUGAGAGUUGGCUGUACCAGAAGUCGUCGGGCCAACCACGCCUUUGGCGUGGGGGCAGGCGCCUAAGGUAUGGCUGAUGAUUGGGGUGAAGUCG